GACGAACGCUGGCGGCGUGCUUAACACAUGCUAGUCGAACGGAAAGGCCUCUUUCGGGGGGUACUCGAGUGGCGAACGGGUGAGUAACACGUGAGUAACCUGCCCUUGACUUUGGGAUAACUUCAGGAAACUGGGGCUAAUACCGGAUAGGAGCUCCUGCUGCAUGGUGGGGGUUGGAAAGUUUCGGCGGUUGGGGAUGGACUCGCGGCUUAUCAGCUUGUUGGUGGGGUAGUGGCUUACCAAGGCUUUGACGGGUAGCCGGCCUGAGAGGGUGACCGGCCACAUUGGGACUGAGAUACGGCCCAGACUCCUACGGGAGGCAGCAGUGGGGAAUAUUGCACAAUGGGUGGAAGCCUGAUGCAGCAACGCCGUGUGCGGGAUGACGGCCUUCGGGUUGUAAACCGCUUUCGCUCAUGACGAAGCUUUGUGUGACGGUAGUGGGUAAAGAAGCACCGGCUAACUACGUG
rnacentral:rRNA from 1 species